UAAAUGUUUGAGUGUGCAGAGUGUCUUAUCUACAUUUUAAUUUAAAGCAACUCAGGCAAAAGUCAUGUGACUUAGCUCACAAAUAAACAAUCAAAAAAACAAAUUAUCAUAACUUUAUUUCGUUAUGAAGUAGAGAAAUGGGAUCUUGCUUUUGCAAACUCUGGUCCAAUCAAAUUAACUUCAUAAUUUAUGUUGAUAACUAGACUGUCUUAAUUGCUAGCUCAAAAGUACUGAAAAGCAAUGUGUCAGACCUUGCAACCUAUGGAGGCCCUAACCCAUACAUAGUCUCACCAGUUUCUAUGGCCGAUGAUAAAUAAGUGAGUCAUGUGUCCAGCACCACACCCCCACCCUGUGUAUCAGGUAUCCAGUUGAGUUCCUCAAACAGGACACAGGGAUUCAAACUCUAGACUCAUCUGUUCAGAAGCCUUUACCAUUCUGCCAUCACAAUCCAAAGAUGAUAAUAACAGCACGAGUAAUUCUAUCAAUCAGUGACACAAAUACAAAAAUGUAUUACAUGUUGGCAUUAAAAAAGAACAAUUAACAUAUGGACUUCAAGGAUCCAUUAUGAAAGUAUCCCAUUCUGAUCAAUUAAAAACAUAAAUUGCAAAAGUUUAUAAUCUAUCCAUUAAAAGAUAAUGGGAAAAAAAAAGCAUGAGGUAAUAAAUCUAUUCAUUUAAAAGACAAAGGAAAAAAAAAUCAAGUCACAGUAGCCCAAUCAAAAGUUAUGGCUGUCAAACAUUUUGAACACAUUCGUUCUUCCACACCCCAUUCUCAUAUCAGUUGACACUUUAAAACAAUUACUUAUUGUAAUUUAACAAAGCAGGAAUCAAUAACAAAUUUUUAAAUAAUAAAUUAUUUUGUUUGAUAUAAAAAGGGAAAAACCUUCUACAGCUACAUUAUUGAGACUAGUAAGUGUGGAGUUCUUUCCUUAGAUAAGCUUUGUUUUUGAUUUUUAAAAAAAAAUUAUUUUCAUAUUUAGCUUUUUUUUUAAACACAUCAUCACUUAAAGCCUCUUAGAAUUGAGGGCUCAAUGUUAAACAGGGAUAGAGGUGUAGAUGAUGAGCCAGAGCUUUGACAGGCCACAAAAGGAUCGAACCCACACUUUGCCAAACAAAUGCUCUGUGUCCCUCAUAUCAGAGCUGGAAAGCUUCAUGAGUAUCACAGUUGCAGUUUUCAAGAGAACACCAUUAGUCCUUUAGGAACAGCUCUUAAAAUUUAGUCUUUCUGACCAGGCUUAUAAAGUACUAGAACCAUCA